ACCCGCUGAACUUAAGCAUAUCAAUAAGCGGAGGAAAAGAAACCAACAGGGAUUGCCCUAGUAACGGCGAGUGAAGCGGCAACAGCUCAAAUUUGAAAUCUGGCUCUUUUAGAGUCCGAGUUGUAAUUUGCAGAGGGCGCUUUGGCUUUGGCAGCGGUCCAAGUUCCUUGGAACAGGACGUCACAGAGGGUGAGAAUCCCGUACGUGGUCGCUGGCUAUUGCCGUGUAAAGCCCCUUCGACGAGUCGAGUUGUUUGGGAAUGCAGCUCUAAAUGGGAGGUACAUUUCUUCUAAAGCUAAAUAUUGGCCAGAGACCGAUAGCGCACAAGUAGAGUGAUCGAAAGAUGAAAAGCACUUUGGAAAGAGAGUCAAACAGCACGUGAAAUUGUUGAAAGGGGAGCGCUUGCAGCCAGACUUGCUUACAGUUGCUCAUCCGGGCUUUUGCCCGGUGCACUCUUCUGUAGGCAGGCCAGCAUCAGUUUGGGCGGUAGGAUAAAGGUCUCUGUCACGUACCUCUCUUCGGGGAGGCCUUAUAGGGGAGACGACAUACUACCAGCCUGGACUGAGGUCCGCGCAUCUGCUAGGAUGCUGGCGUAAUGGCUGU
rnacentral:rRNA from 1 species